CCGAUGGUAGUUGGGUCUAAGCCCCGCGAGAGUAGGACGUCGCUAAGC
rnacentral:rRNA from 1 species